rnacentral:rRNA from 1 species
AACGUAGGAGACAAACGUUAUCCGGAGUUACUGGGCGUAAAGGGCGUGUAGGUGGUUACGUAAGUCUGGCGUGAAAUAUCUCGGCUUAACCGAGGCAGGUCGUCGGAUACUGCGAGACUAGAGGACGGUAGAGGCGUGUGGAAUUCCGGGUGUAGUGGUGAAAUGCGUAGAGAUCCGGAAGAACACCGGUGGCGAAGGCGGCCUGCUGGGCAGUUGCUGACACUGAGGCGCGACAGCGUGGGGAGCAAACAGG